UCCCUGGUGGUCCGGUGGCUAAUACUCUGCAUUCCCAAAGCAGGGGGCCCAGGUUCGAUCCCUGACUGGGGAA
rnacentral:tRNA from 1 species